rnacentral:rRNA from 1 species
CCCUUAGAUGUUCUGGGCCGCACGCGCGCUACACUGAUUCAUGCAACGAGUUUUGUCCUUGGCUGAAAGGCCUGGGUAAUCUUUGAACGUGAAUCGUGCUGGGGAUAGAUGAUUGCAAUUAUUCAUCUUCAACGAGGAAUUCCUAGUAAACGCAAGUCAUCAGCUUGCAUUGAUUACGUCCCUGCCCUUUGUACACACCGCCCGUCGCUGCCCGGAACUGAGCCAUUUCGAGAAAAAUGGGGACAGACUGCUUGUGGGUGCGCAAGCACUUCUUGCAGAUUGAAACCAUCUUGAUCGGUAUGGCUUGAACCGGGCAAAAGUCGUAACA